rnacentral:tRNA from 1 species
UAGCUCAGUUGGUAGAGCAUGGUGCUCGUAACACCAUGGUAGUGGGUUUGAUUCCCGG